rnacentral:rRNA from 1 species
CUGAGUACGGCGGAACACGUGAAAUUCCGUCGGAAUCCGGGAGGACCAUCUCCCAAGGCUAAAUACUCCCUAGUGACCGAUAGUGAACCAGUACCGUGAGGGAAAGGUGAAAAGCACCCCGGAAGGGGAGUGAAACAGUUCCUGAAACCGUGUGCCUACAAGUAGUUAGAGCCCGUUAAUGGGUGAUAGCGUGCCUUUUGUAGAAUGAACCGGCGAGUUACGAUUUGUUGCAAGGUUAAGCGGAAAAAGCGGAGCCGUAGCGAAAGCGAGUCUGAAUAGGGCGCAUAAGUAACAGGUCGUAGACCCGAAACCAGGUGAUCUACCCAUGUCCAGGAUGAAGGUAAGGUAAUACUUACUGGAGGUCCGAACCCACGCACGUUGAAAAGUGCGGGGAUGAGGUGUGGGUAGCGGAGAAAUUCCAAUCGAACUUGGAGAUAGCUGGUUCUCUCCGAAAUAGCUUUAGGGCUAGCCUCGAGGUAAAGAGUCAUGGAGGUAGAGCACUGUUUGGACUAGGGGCCCUUCUCGGGUUACCGAAUUCAGAUAAACUCCGAAUGCCA